rnacentral:rRNA from 1 species
GACGAACGCUGGCGGCGUGCUUAACACAUGCAAGUCGAACGGAAAGGCCCUGCUUUUGUGGGGUGCUCGAGUGGCGAACGGGUGUGUAACACGCGAGUAACCUGCCCUUGACUUUGGGAUAACUUCAGGAAACUGGGGCUAAUACCGGAUAGGAGCUCCUGCUGCAUGGUGGGGGUUGGAAAGUUUCGGCGGUUGGGGAUGGACUCGCGGCUUAUCAGCUUGUUGGUGGGGUAGUGGCUUACCAAGGCUUUGACGGGUAGCCGGCCUGAGAGGGUGACCGGCAACAUUGGGACUGAGAUACGGCCCAGACUGCUACGGGAGGCAGCAGUGGGGAAUAUUGCACAAUGGGCGGAAGCCUGAUGCAGCAACGCCGCGUGCGGGAUGACGGCCUUCGGGUUGUAAACCGCUUUCGCCUGUGACGAAGCGUGAGUGACGGUAAUGGGUAAAGAAGCACCGGCUAACUACGUG